AGAGUUUGAUCCUGGCUCAGGAUAAACGCUGGCGGCGUGCCUAACACAUGCAAGUCGAACGCCCUACGCAAGUAGGGAGUGGCGGACGGGUGAGGAACACGUGGGUACCUACCCUUCAGUGAGGAAUACCGGCGAGAAAUCGCCGACAAAACCGCAUACGUUUCGCAAGAAAGAAAGCUCGCAAGAGCGCUGAGGGAUGG
rnacentral:rRNA from 1 species